CACCCAAAUCUAUCUUCUGAGAUUAUUUUCCUCACAUAUUAGUGGCUUCCUGAUCUACUUCCUCUUUCCUCUGUGUGUGUGUGAGUGGUUUAAGGAAAUAGGCUUCCUUCCUUUCCACUUAUUCUUCUAGCACGUCUGCACAUAGUUUGCUUGAGCACUGCAGGACUCUGCAGGAGCAGCCUGAAUAUCAUCACCACCUCAGCCAUAUCAUCCAACACCACUUCAUAAUCUCUUCAAAGACUUCCACACAUCUCAUCCAGCACAUACUCUCAUGCUAGCUGCUCAGCUGCUUCCACCCAUUCUGCCAGAUUAGUCAUCGCUUCCAGAUGCACUCCCUGGCUGAUUCCCUUCAACAAUUACAGCCUGGUCUCAGUUAAGCCCUCAACUGAACCACCA